rnacentral:rRNA from 1 species
GAUGAACGCUGGCGGCGUUCCUAAUACAUGCAAGUCGAGCGAAGCGGGGACGGGUGAGUAACACGUGGAUAAACUCCUAUAAGACUGGAUUAACUUCGGAAAACAGGAGCUAAACGGGAUACUUAUAGCUGGAUACGCGGUUGAUUAGCUCGUUGGUAAGGUAACGGUUUACCAAGGAAACGAUGAAUCGCCGACCUGAGAGGGUGUGAGGCCACACUUGAACUGAGACACGGUCCAAACUCCUACGGUAGGCAGCAGUAGGGAAUCGUCCGCAAUGGUCGAAAGCCUGACGGAGCAACGCCGAGUGAGUGAUGAAGGUCUUCGGAUCGUAAAACUCUGUUAUUAGGGAAGCGGUACCUAAUCAGAAAGCCACGGCUAACUACGUGCCAGCAGCCGCGGUAAUAC